rnacentral:rRNA from 1 species
AUUGAACGCUGGCGGCAGGCCUAACACAUGCAAGUCGAACGAGUGGCGGACGGGUGAGUACUGUCUGGGAAACUUCCUGAUGGAGGGGGAUAACUACUGGAACCGGUAGCUAAUACCGCAUACCAUCAGAUGUGCCCAGAUGGGAUUAGCUAGUUGGUGGGGUAACGGCGCACCAAGGCGACGAUCCCUAGCUGGUCUGAGAGGAUGACCAGCCACACUGGAACGGAGACACGGGCCAGACUCCUACGGGAGGCAGCAGGGGGGAAUAUUGCACAAUGGGCGCAAGCCUGAUGCAGCCAUGCCGCGUGUAUGAAGAAGGCCUUCGGGUUGUAAAGUACUUUCAGCGGGGAGGCGUUACCCGCAGAAGAAGCAACGGCUAACGAAGAGCCAGCCGCCGCGGUAAUUC